rnacentral:tRNA from 1 species
GCCUGGCUGGCUCAGCUGGUAGAGUCUCUGAUUCUUGAUCUCAGGGUCAUGAGUUUAAGCCCCAUGUUGGGCG